GAUCGUCCACACCACACAGACGGUCUUUACAGCAAUACAAGCCACCUGCACCACAUCAGUGGUUGCCCAAAAUCAAAGCCCUAGCUCACAUCCACCUGGGGGUUGAGGCGCAAAGGGAGUGGGUUCUUUCUCUUUCUCAGGCAGAACUGGCUGUAAGAUGUGUCCAAAAUCACUUGUUGAAGCGGCAAGGGUCAUUCACAGCUCUCACGAAGCCACCGGUGAAAACAAUCUGAUGUGCCUAGGUCGUAAGAGCCCUCACCACCCAGCUUUCCAGCGCCUCGUGUCGAUCAUGCAAGUCAAAAAUGGACCUUUAUGAUGCACUUCAUUCACAGCGGAAGAAGGCAGGGAUCCCCCCGCGUCUUUCAACAGAUCGAAAUCCAGAAGAUAUGUUGGCCUUCGAUUUCUUCCGUGCAGAUUCUCAACCUAGCAGAUGGGGAUCCCUGGCACUCCUAAGCAUGGCAAUCGUCACUAAUUCUCAAUCAGAGUGGACUCAAUAC
rnacentral:lncRNA from 1 species